UACGGGGGGCGCAAGCGUUGUUCGGAUUUACUGGGCGUAAAGGGCGCGUAGGCGGCCACUGGAAGUCAGUUGUGAAAUCUCCGGGCUUAACCCGGAAAGGUCAACUGAUACUGCAGGGCUAGAGUGCAGAAGGGGCAACUGGAAUUCUCGGUGUAGCGGUGAAAUGCGUAGAUAUCGAGAGGAACACCUGCGGCGAAGGCGGGUUGCUGGGCUGACACUGACGCUGAGGCGCGAAAGCCAGGGGAGCGAACGGG
rnacentral:rRNA from 1 species